UUAAAUGGCCGCGGUAUUUUGACCGUGCUAAGGUAGCAUAAUCAUUAGUUUUUUAAUUGAAAGCUAGAAUGAAGGGUUUGAUGAGAAAUUAACUGUCUCUAUUUUAUAUUGUAGAAUUUUAUUUUUAAGUUAAAAAGCUUAAAUUUUAUUGAAAGACGAGAAGACCCUAUAGAGUUUUAUAAAAAAAGAAUAUUUUUAAUUUAGAUUUUUAUUAAAAAUGAUAUUAUAUAUUUAGUUGGGGUGAUUAAAAAAUUUAAUUAACUUUUUUUUUAUUUUGAUACUAAUAAGUAGUUUAUUGAUCCAAUAAUAUUGAUUAUAAGAUUAAAUUACCUUAGGGAUAACAGCGUAAUUUUAUUGGAGAGUU
rnacentral:rRNA from 1 species